AUACUUUCCUGUCAGGGAAGAUAUGAUUACUAUAAAGAUAAUUUUCCUAGAGUGAAGCUUAUCCAUUGCACUCUGGAUAUGCUGGCCCCUGUGAUUUCCCCAAAUGUAGGAAAUUCGACUGUACAAUUUGUAGUAGUGAGGGGCUGUGUUCAUGCUCUCCCCUU